rnacentral:rRNA from 1 species
UUCCAUCUGGAAGAAUCUGGAGACAGGUGCUGCAUGGCUGUCGUCAGCUCGUGUCGUGAGAUGUUGGGUUAAGUCCCGCAACGAGCGCAACCCUUGCCUUUAGUUGCCAGCAGUUCGGCUGGGCACUCUAAAGGGACUGCCGGUGUUAAACCGGAGGAAGGUGGGGGAUGACGUCAAGUCCUCAUGGCCUUUAUGACCAGGGCUACACACGUACUACAAUGGCCGAUACAAAGGGCAGCGACACUGCGAGGUGAAGCCAAUCCCGUAAAAUCGGUCUCAGUCCGGAUUGGAGUCUGCAACUCGACUCCAUGAAGUUGGAAUCGCUAGUAAUCGUGGAUCAGCAUGCCACGGUGAAUACGUUCCCGGGCCUU